UGGAGAGACCUGGUCUGAAUGGAGAUAUUGGAUUCAUGUCCCAUUAUACAUCCUAAAGCUAAUUUUGGUCAUCUAUCCCUUUAAGAAUCCCUUGCCCUUCCCUGUGGAACCAACUGCCGUAACAGUCUUCAAGAGUUCUAAGGCUGAAGUAUCUGACAAAGUGUGUAUUACACACAAAAGCUCAUACCUUGAAAACUUAUAUUGAGUUGAUCUUUAAGGUGCCACUGGAAUUAUUUAAAAAGUUCUUUUCAUCUUGUUAUUUAUUAUGACUAUGACAGAUCAACAUGGCCUUCCACCUGAAUCUGGUGUCAUUCGUAGUUGACCUCUCCCACGCACACUGUCUUAGGCGACUUAUUCCGGUUUUCAACUUCGGCUUUUGAUCUCAAAACGUUCGGUUUAUCACAGCUGAUUCCUCUGUUCGUCUUGAUUGGAAUCGGAGGGACCGGCCUGUGCACCAUGCGCCUUGCUCUUCGCAACCCUGAUGUCAGGUAAGUGCCACCCCUCAGGGCAGGAUCAGCCCUUGGCCUGGUGCUGACAACUGCCAUCCCCGCAAAACCACGUCACGUGCUCCCCGCCUCCCAGUGGCGCUGGGUGUCCUUCACUGAUGGAUGCCAGGCAGCGCUUUGGAAUGGGACCUCAGCUGGACUCCCAUCCGUGUCAGCUGCCCACUACUUUACGCAACUCAGAAUUCAUCACAGGGAUCCGUGGCCUGAGAGGAUGGGAGCGAGCUUGGCUUCUUAUCAGAAGCGACACUGCUACUGAAGAGCGUCUGGGGACCCAGUGGCAGGGACUGGUGGCCUGGCUGGGCCAGGCUGAUAAGCACCCUUCCUAGCUCCUUGGGGGCAGAGCUGGACCCAGUGGCAGGGACUGGUGACCUGGCUGGGCCAGGCUGAUAAGCACCCUUCCAAGCUCCUUGGGGGCAGAGCUGGACCCAGUGGCAGGGACUGGUGGCCUGGCUGGGCCAGGCUGAUAAGCACCCUUCCAAACUCCUUGGGGGCAGAGCUUUUGCCACUUCUUUAAGUGUUGCAUCUUAAAGCGCAACCUGAAUAAAAUAUGACCUGCUGUGCUCCAGAGGUAGAAUAAUAAUAAUAAUAAUAAUAAUAAUAAUAAUAAUAAUGGUUAUAAAACAAAUUAUAAAACCACAGUAAAACAUGAGCGUCAGCUUCUUAGCUUUAGAGUAAGAAAACCAACCAUUCCUCAGCCGAAUUGUAUCCAAGGCAUUGCAAUGAGCGGUACAGCAUAGUUAAAAGGGUAUUUGGGAAGAGAGUAAAGCCAAUGAACUGUCUGAGCAGAAAGCACAAAGUCUAUCAGGAACCUGUCAUGGAGAAAGUGUAGGAUCGGGAUGCCAGCAACGAGUUCUGUCCAGCACUGCCUCACCAACUUGCCGCUGUCUCUGGUGCAAGGCAGUGAGAAGCUGCCCUUGCAUUUAUGUAACUGUGUGUUAACUGGCUUUAAAGGGCUUUUACAAAUACUUGGGGUACAGUGGCCUUUUUUUACAUCCCACAUUAUAAAAGAAGAGUGCUCUUCUGGUGGCACUGAGGAGGCCAUGAUUGUUAAAUUUGGUGGGAACCAUGUGCCAAGAGUCGGGCAGAGCAUUACGCUUUAUGCUGUAUGUUUUUCUUCUUCUUCCAAAGAUGUACUCCUUGCUGCCUGCCUCUUGUCACGUUUCUCUGCCUGCCUGGGACAAAAAGAGCAACCCAGAGCCUUGGAACAAGCUGUGACCCAACGACCAGUUCAAGGUAUGGUAGGAAAUACUUAACUAGGGUUAUGAUGCUGGUUAUCUUAUAGGCCAGGGAUGGGGAGCCUGGUGUCCAGCAGAGAUUGUUGGGACUCCAACUCCCAUCAGCCCCAUCCCUGAAAUCUACGGAAGAUGGGCUAAUAAUAAUAAUAAUAAUAAUAAUAAUGGCCAUUUGGUGGGAGGUGGGCUUCAGCUUUGGAAGGCCUGGUGUGUGUGAUCACAGCAUUUGGGGUUGGACUAGAUGACCCUUGGGUUCCUUCUAUGAUUCUUCAUUCUCCUCACCAGUUCAAUCUUCUAAACUCUGACUGAAUAAGCAGGAUAGAUCCCUGAGUUUCUGCCACUGACCUGUGGUUCUUCCUGCAAAAUUGCUUUUAAGCCCAUUAAAGUUGAAUGUAAAACUAACAGAUUUUGGGGAAACUUUUUAAAAAUGGGAGGGUAAGGGGGCC
rnacentral:lncRNA from 1 species